UCGUUUUUUGUACCAGGCUGUAAACAUGUUUAUUUCUGCUGUAAAGAUCGGCUCUUUAAAUUGGUGUUUAUGUGGUUUGUGGUACUUCCGGGGGGCCAGCGUCAAGCGGACACUCGAGGAACUGCAGUUUUUAACACUUCUGCAUUGGUUUCGAUUCACGCAGCCGGAGGUUACUGAGUAAAAUCUAGCUAGUCAGCAGAUAGAAGCAUGAAGGGCUCUAAAACCUCUUUAUUGGGUGGCGUUGAUACAACACAGGUCUCCCUGUGGACCCUCCUCCUUACCCUCCUAGUGAAGGGUGUCUAUGCUGAUUUGACAUUUGUCCAGAGAGGAUCACUCUUCCUGAUGACUGUGGUUGCGUGUCCUGAACUCAACUGAGCGAUACACUGUAUUCAGUUUGAAUGGUAAUGUACUCAAACUUGAGAUGAAAUAUUCUCAUAUUUGAAAUGUGUUAUUACGUUUUUUGAUAUGCAGUCCAUAACUAUCAAAAUGAAUCUACAACAAGUCUGGAAACAUUGGAGUUUACUUGUAAACUAAUAAAAGUAGUGGACACAGCCUUUUCCACCUGGACUGAAGCUAAAUCAUGAAAACAACUCAUUGUCGUGGUGCUUUGGGCAUAAACUCAUAAAAAGCAGAGGAUAGGCUCAUGAUAUUGAUUGCAUCUUGUUGUUGACCCAACAAUAACAGCACAAGUGUGUAGAUGUUUGUGUGUAUUUGUGCCUCCUCUUUUUGUAACAACUAGCCUUUUGAAAUCCAUUGUGUUUCCUGAUAAUCGUGACAAGCUUUGUCGGGGGAGAUGAUCCCUUUCUGCUGCUGUUGCAUGAAUAAGCGCAGAUGUCAACCUUUUCACUGUGACUCUCACCUUGUCCACUCAUUAGUAAUGAAAACAGUGGCCUUUGUUUCUUGUUGAAUAUUCUUUCAUAGGAAACAAAAGCGUGGUUCUCAUUCAUCCUGUGUGGAGCAGAUCUGGGACGAUAAAGCCCGGCCAGUGCUGUCACACUCUGACCUCGUUGGUCCGACUCUUGCACAGUUUUGUGGCGAGCCGACUGACAUUCAGUCUCUGAAAUAAUGAACUGAGAGGGGAAAAGAGUCACGGCUCUGGGACUGCGAGGUGUACCUUGAUCUCUCUGCUGAUUCAUCCAGGUGGAGGAACACACAUAAACACACAUUUCAUGGACUCCAUAUUUCCUUUAUUCCACCAAUACUUUACCAAGUCAGUUCUUCUUCCCGUCAAGUGUCUGUUAGGUGAGAAACGUGUGAAAUGAAGAAGCAGACGUGUUUUAUCAAGUCUGACCUGCCCCAGCCCUUCUUCCUUCUCUCUGCCUCUUUCUUCCUCCCGGGAUGGAGUGACAGCCUGUCACUGUGGGCGCUCCACAAUACGCCUCAGACCCCCCGACUAUUGUGGCGCUCAGAAAAAGCAUCAAGGUCUUCCUCUCUCUUCGCGUUCACUCUUUUCUCUCUCUUUUCAAAGCAGAGAAUCAAUCAGCUGUACACACACACACAUGCAUACACACUUCUUUCCCCUUCCAUCUGUCUAUUCAGCAGCCAGUGAUCAUUUAGACUUGACAUGUAUUGUGAAAAACUGAGCUGCUCUGCCUCUUUCUUCUUCUCUUUCUUUCACUCCCUUUCUCUUUCAACUGUCUGUCAUUAAUGUCCAGGUCUUACAAUAUACGAACAGAGGAGGAGAAGAAAGCGAAGAGUGAGGGAUGAAUUGAUGGAUGGGAGGAUAAGCACUCAGUGUCCUUUCUUUAAAGAUUUGUUAUUGUACAGUACUGUCUCCCAGUCAUUUUUGGUUGGUGUUUCAGUCUGAAAGCCCGUCCACGUGCUCUUUUGUAUGGGAAAGCAAUAAGGCCCCAUUGAAUGAAGCUGAAUGGACCUGCCAUCCUUAGGGGCUGAGGCCUGAGGACUCCUAUUCUUUAGCCCCCAAUCUAAUUGGAGCUGAAAUGAAAUGGAGGUUUCUUAUGAAAAUAGGCUUUGUUUGGCCGCAAGGCUGGUAAUUCAUAAACAAUAAGCAGGGCCCCAUUGUGUAGAUAAUAAUAUAUUCAUGCUGCUGGAGAUGGGGAGAAGGCAAAGCAAAGGCUGAGGAUAUAUAAGGAGGAUAGGCAGAGACAGAGAUGGAGAGUGGAGGGAGAGGAGGAAGGGGAGGAGGAAGACUAAUAGCAAAUAGUGGGUCAGAGAAAAUUGGUAAUGGUCGGGUAGCAGCGGAGGACUUAUUAGAGGAAGUGAAAGGACUAAAAGUGGGUAGGAGUGAGUGGGAGUUAGGUGAAAGUGACGGGAAUAGGAGAGAUAGACGAGAUGAGAAUGAGGCAAGGAGGGAAGGAGGGAGAUUGGGGAAUGCUUUUGAGUACUGAAGCCUACAGGUGACUGCAGAGGGGGGGAGAAGCCAAGUGAGUGAGAGGAUCUUCAAAAUAGAAUAAGGUUGCAGAAGGGAAAACCUGCGUUGGAUGUGAGAGUGGUGGAGCUGAUGGAGUGGAUUGGUCAAGUGCAGAGAUGGAGCAGAGCAGAGCAGCACUAACAGGGGAGCGAGCGGAGGGGAGGAAGAGGAGACCGGCGUGUCAGCGGAGGAAUAAAACUGACAGGAAGCUUUUCACUGACUGGAGACGCGGUGGCUUGCUGGAAGAGGAACAGGUCAGAGACGCGUCUCGAAGAGGAUCCUGAGCUGAGACUCUACACUCUCUAAGAAAGUUUUGUGACAGUGGAGGGAGCGGAAGAUGAUGAGGACAUGGAUGCAGAACUCAAAUUGUAAAAACACAUCUGAAUUGAUUGCACUGCUUGAGACAUCUUGACUAAUGGCAGCUCGCCGUUUCUCUGCUAGCUUGAGGAGAAGAUGAAGGGAGCUUUCAGCCUCUUAGAAGAUGAGGGUUAAAGAACGGAGAGAUUAAGGAAGUGAGAGUGCGACUGAAAAGAGGGCCGAGGAUUAUGUCAUCUACAAUUGAUGUGCUCUCUUAAUGUACCUUUAAACAUGUGCCACUGGGGCCUGCUUUUAUAAUGUCUAUUCACUCGUGGGAGGGGGGGGGUUAAAGCAUUAACCCAGAAAUACUUUGCAACAUAUGUGUGGCUCGUCGUGUAUUGAGCGUAGUUAUCAGGAUUUAUGUCGCUUUGAUAUGUAUACGGCGUGUGGAGAGAUCGUCUUUGUCAAAGGAAGUCCGUUUCUCCUCGGCUUCCCAUACACGGCCAUGCAUUGUACUGAUCUCCAUAUCAAAAAAGAGAUCCUUUAUCAAACGAUCAUAGGGACAAAAUCUGUCUUUAUUCCACGUCUUCAGCUCCAAUGAAAAUGUUCCCGCAAUCUAGUCCAACUUGGACUAUGAGCAAAGGAUUUAUUAAAUUGACUGAUUCUCCUCUAACUGCUGCAUGAAUUGUCUCUCAAAUUGCUGCUUGUUUCAACAAAAUGACAACGCAGACAGUGUGGGGAAAAUCUUCAGAUCUUAUCCACGAGGAUGUUAUGGGGUUAAGUGUACUUUGAGGCGUGUGUGCGCACAUACACUUGUCUGCGUGUCUGUUCAGUGUGCAACCAUUCGAUUAAAUCCACAGCUAUCACUAACAGGAUUAGCUGAGUGGACAGCAGAAGUCUAUCAUUGCUUAUUGAUUUCCUCUGAUUCCCAUCAGCCCAUCAGGGCAGGACAUUCAGUGAGUGGCCCCAGUGGGAAUCGCCGCUGCAGGUCCCAGGUUAACGUAUCUGAGAGGCUUCAAAGCAGGCACCCAUCUCUCUGUGUCAGGAAAAGUCAAAUAAGUCAAAGCUAUCAGGGGCAACAGAUGCUCCCGUCGCUCCUUCCUGUGUGAAAAAUACAGUUUGACUCCAUUGCUGGAGAAACACUCAAUCUAAUCAAUGGAACACUGAAACAGGAGUGUUGAGUAACAGCUACUCACUCUCCCAGAACACUGUGGAGGGCAUGACUUCUCCACCUUCAUGUGGUCAUUUCUGGACAAAUGAAACAAUGAAAUGAUUUGGAAUUUUGUCCUACCUUUGACCAAAUCUUGUAUGCUUGCAUUUUACAGUUUGUGCUGUCAAAUACUGCCUUUAUUUACGCCAUGAUGGAAGAAAGUGCGGUUCUGUUUCUUGGUUAGCAUCUAAUUUCUCAAAAUGAUAUCAUCGAUUAAAAACUUGAUGGUAUGUGACUGGGCUAAGUUGGCUCUUUGUCCUUUCACAGAGCAUCUUUGUUGACACUGUUUCUAAGGUAUUACUUCAGUAAUGUGUAAAAGCAUUGAUUUCAUAGCAAGUGUUGGUGUUAUACCUGGCUUUCUUUUACUUUGGAGUGUUCUCUGCUUUUUUCAUUUAUACAAACAGGAAGCACAAAGAAUUGAAACCAACGUAAUCUAAUGUAUUCCAGUACAUCAUGAUCUUUGCUGUUGCUACAAUAAUAAACAUAUAAUUGAGUUAACCCCUUUAA